rnacentral:pre_miRNA from 1 species
CACCAGAAGUGGAUGAAGCUGCCAGCAUGAUCUGAGAUACUGAGAUAGUACCUAGAUGUCUUUGUGAUGAUUUGCAUCUAGCUUGAUGCAUGAUCUGAGAGUUGAAGCAACCAGAUCAUCUGGCAGUUUCAUCUUCUUAUGGU